rnacentral:rRNA from 1 species
CGACCGGCGCACGGGUGAGUAACACGUAUGAAACCUGCCCGUAGCAGGGGGAUAAGCGGAAGAAAUUCCGUCUAAUACCGCGUAACAACCCAUGGAGGCAUCUCUGUGGGUUUAAAGGAAGCGAUUCCGGCUACGGAUGGUCAUGCGUCGCAUUAGCUUGUUGGCGGGGUAACGGCCCACCAAGGCGACGAUGCGUAGGGGUUCUGAGAGGAAGGUCCCCACACUGGUACUGAGACACGGACCAGACUCCUACGGGAGGCAGCAG